rnacentral:piRNA from 1 species
UACCAAAAUAUCCUGAAAAAA